rnacentral:pre_miRNA from 1 species
AGUAAGAUAGCUGGAUCAAAUGGUGGUUCUAUUCCCAGUUUUCUAAAGAAUCUCCAAACUGCUUUCCAUAUUGGCUGCACCAUUUUGCACUCCCACUAGCAAU